AAAAAAGCGGUGACCUCUUGCCUUUGUGAAUGGGCCUUUUGUAAAUGUCAUUGAAAAUAUAUUAGCAUUGUUUUUGGGUGAACCUCCAUUUUGUUGAUUAUUGCUGAAGGGUCAGUAAAUGAUCCAACAUUU